rnacentral:lncRNA from 1 species
GAAAUAGAGACGGAAAAGCAUAACUGUGAAAACAGCUACAAUCAGCAUUUUGCAUCAGUGAACCUGGAAGCAGAUACAAGUAAAAGAUUACACUUUGAAAGUCUGAAACUUGCGGAGCAUUACAUCAAAGCAGAUGGAAUUGCACAGAGUAACAAUACCUGGAGCAAUGGGAAGGCUACAAAGAAUUAUUCUGGCUUUUGGUUAGGUAAGUGCUCAAUCACAUAUGGUAAGUGUUAUUGUUCCAUUAUACAUACAGAGAAAUUAAGUGAAAGUGCAACACCCAUUCAUGAGAACUCAGAAAAAAGUGCCUCCAAGAUUUCCAUUCCACUGUUCUACUCAACAGAAAAAUAUUUCUUUUCUGUGCACCACAGGAUGACCUGUGCAACCUACAGAUACUUUUAAAAUCAGCAGGANNNNNNNNNNNNNNNNNNNNNNNNNNNNNNNCAUCUUUUACAUUGUGCCAUCAAGGUACAGCCCCAGCAAGGGCAGAAAGGCAUGAGCGCCAAGCCCAGAUACCAACCUCAGGUGGUUAUCAAACAGGGAGGACUGCCAAUUUAAAUGUCACUGCCUGGUGAUAUAGGCUUUAACUUCAUGGUACCUGAGGAUGGAGCCUGAGGAAAGAGACAAAGCAAACCAUGAUGGUUCUUUCAUAGGAAUAAUGAUACAUUUAUGCUGUGUUUAUGUUUCUGUGCCAUGCUUAACAUGGUUGUAUUUCAGUGCCUUUAUUUAGGGUGCAAAAUUAUUAACUCUUACAAUUCAUUUACUAUCUAAUGAAGUGUGCGUGCGUGUGUGUGUGUGUGUAUUUUUUACAGUUUGUGUAUUGCACUGAUAUGCAAAUAUCCUAGAAGUCUAUAUAAGAUCAUCUUCCUCACUGCAAAUAUUAGGGAAAGCCUUUUUUAACAUAACUGAUUUCAGUUCAUAGACCCAUAUCCUAUGGUUAUAUAAAAUAGAGCAAAAUCUUUGGUGACUGCUUCGGAAUUCUUGUCUCAUGUUUGCUGUUAGUUUUCUCUGUGGUAUGUUCAAUAACACUAACAAAACCUCCAUCUGCUUUUUUAUUUUUAUUUUUUUUUUUAAGAACUGCUCUGUAAAAUAUCCAGCUCAACUAUCUAACUAAAAAUCUUUCAUGUUGCACUAGCGAAAAGAAU